rnacentral:rRNA from 1 species
AGAGUUUGAUCCUGGCUCAGGACGAACGCUGGCGGCGCGCCUAACACAUGCAAGUCGAACGAGCGAGAGAGAGCUUGCUUUCUCGAGCGAGUGGCGAACGGGUGAGUAACGCGUGAGGAACCUGCCUCGAAGAGGGGGACAACAGUUGGAAACGACUGCUAAUACCGCAUAAGCCCACAGGUCGGCAUCGACCAGAGGGAAAAGGAGCAAUCCGCUUUGAGAUGGCCUCGCGUCCGAUUAGCUAGUUGGUGAGGUAACGGCCCACCAAGGCGACGAUCGGUAGCCGGACUGAGAGGUUGAACGGCCACAUUGGGACUGAGACACGGCCCAGACUCCUACGGGAGGCAGCAGUGGGGAAUAUUGCACAAUGGGGGAAACCCUGAUGCAGCGACGCCGCGUGGAGGAAGAAGGUCUUCGGAUUGUAAACUCCUGUUGUUGAGGAAGAUAAUGACGGUACUCAACAAGGAAGUGACGGCUAACUACGUGCCAGCAGCCGCGGUAAAACGUAGGUCACAAGCGUUGUCCGGAAUUACUGGGUGUAAAGGGAGCGCAGGCGGGAGAACAAGUUGGAAGUGAAAUCCAUGGGCUCAACCCAUGAACUGCUUUCAAAACUGUUUUUCUUGAGUAGUGCAGAGGUAGGCGGAAUUCCCGGUGUAGCGGUGGAAUGCGUAGAUAUCGGGAGGAACACCAGUGGCGAAGGCGGCCUACUGGGCACCAACUGACGCUGAGGCUCGAAAGUGUGGGUAGCAAACAGGAUUAGAUACCCUGGUAGUCCACACCGUAAACGAUGAUUACUAGGUGUUGGAGGAUUGACCCCUUCAGUGCCGCAGUUAACACAAUAAGUAAUCCACCUGGGGAGUACGACCGCAAGGUUGAAACUCAAAGGAAUUGACGGGGGCCCGCACAAGCGGUGGAGUAUGUGGUUUAAUUCGAAGCAACGCGAAGAACCUUACCAGGGCUUGACAUCCCACUAACGAAGCAGAGAUGCAUUAGGUGCCCUUCGGGGAAAGUGGAGACAG